rnacentral:lncRNA from 1 species
CUGAGAAUGAAGUAUGAGCUUGCUGAUUAGUAACAGAGGUUGGUGAUUCUCAAUUUAUACUUGUUUUUUUGAGAAAGUUCAGAGUUUCAAGGGCCUAUUCCACUAAUGUAAUACUAAGAUAUUUUAGGUAUUGAUUAGUUGAAAAAAGUUUAGUUUUGUUUGUCAUGUCAUGGAACUAGUGUUUUGACCUAUGUUCAAAAUCAUUAAGUCAUUAACAUGCUACAUUGUAGAUUUUGGAGAUAUCGAGUCUAGCAAUUUUUUUUGUGUUCUACAUUUUAAAGAAUUUGCUCAUCUAAUGUGAAUAUUCUUGUGUUUUGAAAAUAAAUGCUUAGUCAAAAUACAUGGUUCAGUUUUAGUUGAAAAGAUUCUGAAGAUUCAUGUUUUUUGGCAGUACAAUUAUGUUGAUUAUGUGAUCUAUUGUAAUACAAAGAAGAGGUUGGCCGUCAAGAUUGAACCUUGACCUGAUUGGGACCUGAGUGCAUUGGGUUGGGUUAGGAUCUUGCUUGACCUGACUUAGCCCAAAUGACUCAGUGGAUCUUCAAGGCUGCUCAUGAUUCUUUAGGCUUUAGAUGGACGAUGGAAAAGUGACACGAAUAAAAUGAAGAUGAUCAUGUUAGAGCUAGAAUUUGGUAGUGCAUGAUUAAUUCUAUUUGCUAUUUGUGUUGGUUUUGAACUUGUUCUGAACAAAACAGCAAAUCUAGUUGUCAAGGAUUUAGCGCACAUAAUGUUCAUAGAAGCUGAGAGAGCUCUGAGCUAUACAAAAUGGGUAGUUGGACAAACAAAGUUUCCUGCUUGUGGUACUUCCUGUUUCUAAUUUUCUUGCAUAGCCUUUUAUAUUUAUUGGUUACAUUUUUGCAUCAUCACAUUGUCAGAGAUCCAUCAAAAACUUAGUAUUUUUGUUUUCUAGUGUGAAAAGCUUUUUAGAUCUAUAACUAAAUUAGUCAAAAUACAUGGUUCAGUUUUAGUUGAAAAGAUUCUGAAGAUUCAUGUUUUUUGGCAGUACAAUUAUGUUGAUUAUGUGAUCUAUCGUAAUACAAAGAAGAGGUUGGCCGUCAGAUUGAACCUUGACCUGAUUGGGACCUGAGUGCAUUGGGUUGGGUUAGGAUCUUGCUUGACCUGACUUAGCUCAAAUGACUCAGUGGAUCUUCAAGGCUGCUUAUGAAACUGCUCCUACCUAUUAAGCUCGCAUGCUUGCGGGCCUAAUUGACAGCCUUACCUAGAACAAACCGCUAUUCCCCCCUCCUAGAUGCCACACCCAUUUCCACAGGCAUUCAUGAUCCAAAUUCUAUGAUGGCAUCCUCUGCUGACAGGUCUAAGAGGCUGCUGAGGAUGAUGACUGCAGCUAGACGACCACAUAUUGCAUCAGGAGGCACUUAAACAAUAAGAAAAUUUGAGAAUGAUUAACUUCUCAAAUAAAAAAAAGGAGAAUGAUUAAAAAUGUUUAUACAUACAUAAAUACAUGCAUGCAUGCAUAGAUAUAUACAACAAGAAAUAAAAUAAAUCAGAAGAAAUCAAGAAAUAAGUCGGCUGAUGCGAACAAUUUAUUUGAGCUGUAAUUGGGACAGUAAACAGUAAUUUCUCAGAAAUUAUACAAUAUGUAAAACAGCAAGCAAUCAAUAUAUGUUACUACUUCAAAUGACACUAUUGAGUGGCAAUGGCAUUAGAGAUGGUAAUUUAUGACAUGACCUAAAAACCCGACCCUGAAACAACCCAUUUUAAGCAUGUUCGGGUUUGACGUAAAUGAGUUUGGGCCAUAAAUGAGUCAACCUACUUAGACAUGUUUAUCAAAUGGGUUGGGUUCAGGUUUGUACCUUUGACCUGUUAAACCCAUUUUGACAUGUUUCAUAAUUAGGUUAGAUUGUGA